GACGUAGGUGGCAAGCGUUGUCCGGAGUUAUUGGGCGUAAAGCGCGCGCAGGCGGUUCGGUAAGUCCAUGGUGAAAGCGCCCGGCUCAACUGGGCGAGUGCCGUGGGGACUGCCGAGCUGGAGGGGAGCAGAGGCGAGUGGGAAUUCCGGGUGUAGUGGUGAAAUGCGUAGAGAGUCCGGAGGAACACCAGUGGCGAAGGCGGCUCGCUGGGCU
rnacentral:rRNA from 1 species